GAAAACUUGGUUCUAAUUUCCUUUACUUUUUUAUUUAUAAUGAUACAUGCAAAAAAAUUUGACCCAGUGGAAAAAAUAAAAAUUAAAAAUAAAAAAAAGAUAAAUAAAGAAAACAGAUUUCUUUAAUUAAUAAAGCCACAACAGCAGUACUAAACAUUAAGCAAUUAGUAAAAACUAGACUUAGUAAUAAAAAUAAAAUAUUGGUAAAAAUACGUGCCAGCCACCGCGGUUAUACGUAAAAUAUAAAAAGUAAAACAAACAAACAAGUGAAAAACAAAAUUAGUAUUUUAAAAACAAACUUAACAGUCAAAUGUAAAUAAUUAAAGAAAACCAAUUACACGAAAGUAAAAUACAACAAAAACUUCACGAAAAUUUAAAAACAAACCAGGAUUAGAGACCCUUUUAUGUUAAAUUAUAAACAUUAAAAAGUACUACGAGUAAAAAACUUAAAACUUAAAGAACUUGGCGGUUUUUUAGACCUCCCUAGAGGAGCUUGUUUAAUAAUCGAUAAUCCACGAAAAACCUUACCUUUUUUAGAAAUCAGCUUGUAUAUCAUCAUCGUCAGCUCACCUUAAUAAAAGAAGUAAGCCCAAAGGAAAACUCCAAAACGUUAGAUCAAGAUGCAGCCAAUAAAAAGAGAAAAAAAUGAGCUACAAUACUCCCAAAAGAAUGCGAAAUUUUAAAUUAAUAAAAUAAAAAGAAGAAGGAUUUAGUAGUAAGAAAGUUUAAAUAAAAACAAUCUGAAAAAAGCUCUAAAAUACGUACACACCGCCCGUCACUCUCCUUUUUAAAAGGAGAAAAGUCGUAACAAGGUAAGAGUAGGGGAACCUGCUCUUGGAA
rnacentral:ncRNA from 1 species